AGUUUAGAGUCGUUAUUGUUUUGAUCAUGAUGUAUAUGACGACCCUAAACUGUCGUUAAUGAGGGUCGUUACUUGAAGAAGAAAAAUAUUAAUCAAAAGUAAAAUAGUAUAUUCAUCUUCCAAUUUUUACACCUCUCAAAAAUUUGGGGGGCAAACAAAAUUCCAUGGCCCCCAAUUAGAAGUUAUGGCCCCCAAUUAAACUAGGUUUAGGAAGUGUAUCUGCUUUGCAGAAAAGAUUGCAAGUGUAGGCUUCGGGUGUUCCAUACUCAAAUGUAGGGGGGUAUAUUUGUGCUCGGAUGACAGCUUUUGGGACGAACUGGGGGCAUUUAUAUGGUGGAGAUGAUAUCCCAUAUGAGUCAAUAUGAAUCAAUUGGUCUUUAGCAGCAUGCGAGAAUGUGAUGCAACAUCAAUAAGAUGAGCAGUACUUACGAAGUGCGAAGAGGACUUGCUCGAGUUGUCGACAGAUUACGUGGAGAUUGUCUAAGCUUGUUCUGGAAAUUCUACUUUGCUUCAAGUCUAUACAUGAAGAUCCGUGUCAAUAUCCAUAAUUAUGUCCUCCCGCACCCUAUGUUUCCAAAAAUUAGCAGGUUCAAUGCAUUUUGAGUAUGGAGGCUUUGUAUUUUAUUGAACCAUUAAGUGAUUGACGCUAUUUUUCUCUCUAAAUGAUGUGUAUUAAGUCUAUGUGGUUUGUGAUGGUAUACCCAUUAUGUAAACUAGCUUAAUGCCGUUUUUG